AAUGUAGUAAUCUAGAAUAAGAAGCCUUGGAUCAACAAUAUAUGAUAUUUCUUCUUUGCUAUUUUCAUUCAUAAACGAAGUUCUUGAUAACACAUGUAAACAUCUUCUCCUAAUAAGUUUCCUACUAAAGUCUCAUGCUGAACUAUUUCAACAUUAGUAAAGCCCCCUCAGGUAUAUUGGUCACAAAGACAUUUCUUUCUAUUUAAGGUUG
rnacentral:lncRNA from 1 species